AGAGCGAACGCUGGCGGCAGGCCUAACACAUGCAAGUCGAGCGCCCGUAGCAAUACGGGAGCGGCAGACGGGAUAGUAACACGUGGGAACGCGCCCUUCGGUUCGGAAUAACUCAGGGAAACUUGAGCUAAUACCGAAUACGCCCUUACGGGGAAAGAUUUAUUGCCGAAGGAACGGCCCGCGUCCGAUUAGCUAGUUGGUGAGGUAAUGGCUCACCAAGGCUACGAUCGGUAGCUGGUCUGAGAGGAUGACCAGCAUCACUGGGACUGAGACACGGCCCAGACUCCUACGGGAGGCAGCAGUGGGGAUAUUGGACAAUGGGCGCAAGCCUGAUCCAGCCAUGCCGCGUGGAUGAUGAAGGCCUUAGGGUUGUAAAGUUCCGUUUUAACGGGGAAGUAUAAUGACGGUACCCGUAGAAUAGCCCGGCUAACUCGCGCCAGCAGCCGC
rnacentral:rRNA from 1 species